rnacentral:rRNA from 1 species
UACGUAGGGUGCGAGCGUUUAAUCGGAAUCACUGGGCGUAAAGGGCGCGUAGGUGGCGUUCCAAGUCAACGGUGAAAGCUCGGGGCUCAACCCCGAGUCGGCCGUCGAUACUGGGAGGCUCGAGCACUGUAGAGGCAGAUGGAAUUCCGGGUGUAGCGGUGGAAUGCGUAGAGAUCCGGAAGAACACCGGUGGCGAAGGCGGUCUGCUGGGCAGUAGCUGACACUGAGGCGCGACAGCGUGGGGAGCAACAG